GUUGCUUUGGUCCAACGGUAGAACAUCUGUCAUACCUACAGGAGAUGCGGGUUCGAGUCCCACGGGCAACA
rnacentral:tRNA from 1 species